GGGGAUAUUGCACAUUACUAAGUUGCAUGUUUUCUCAGUGCAAUUUAGUAUGUGUGAUAUUUUC